CCCGUUGCCGUGGUAACGCUCCCGGCGGCGCAGCGGUGGGUUCUCGUUCUCCGCACGGAGCGCCUGACCGGCAGCGGCUGGCGGCCGCGGGAUUUCAGAGUGGAAAGGUGGCCGGCCUCCGGAGGCGGCCGGGAAGGUGGGAGCUCCGGGAGAGGUUCGGGUGAACGCUUUGAAAACAGAUAAGACACUGUGGAAAGCAGAAUGUCAGAAGAUACUGAAGGAAUUGAAAAAGAGAUAGAAAUUGAAUUAGGCAGAAUCAGUCUUACGUCCUUUGAAGUAGAUGAUCCUGACACAGAGGCAUCAGAUGAACCUUUGAGUGACAGUGAGACAAUUUCAGAUGGCUUACCAGAAUCAGUUCUCUCCUAUUUAAACUUUAUGAAGAGCAGCAAUCAAGAUGCUGAAAAGCUUAUACUGCAAGACUUAGAAGAUGAACAAAUUACAGGUAAGCA